rnacentral:rRNA from 1 species
CACGGGAGACACACGGCGGGUGCUAACGUCCGUCGUGAAGAGGGAAACAACCCAGACCGCCAGCUAAGGUCCCAAAGUCAUGGUUAAGUGGGAAACGAUGUGGGAAGGCCCAGACAGCCAGGAUGUUGGCUUAGAAGCAGCCAUCAUUUAAAGAAAGCGUAAUAGCUCACUGGUCGAGUCGGCCUGCGCGGAAGAUGUAACGGGGCUAAACCAUGCACCGAAGCUGCGGCAGCGACGCUUAUGCGUUGUUGGGUAGGGGAGCGUUCUGUAAGCCUGUGAAGGUGUGCUGUGAGGCAUGCUGGAGGUAUCAGAAGUGCGAAUGCUGACAUAAGUAACGAUAAAGCGGGUGAAAAGCCCGCUCGCCGGAAGACCAAGGGUUCCUGUCCAACGUUAAUCGGGGCAGGGUGAGUCGACCCCUAAGGCGAGGCCGAAAGGCGUAGUCGAUGGGAAACAGGUUAAUAUUCCUGUACUUGGUGUUACUGCGAAGGGGGGACGGAGAAGGCUAUGUUGGCCGGGCGACGGUUGUCCCGGUUUAAGCGUGUAGGCUGGUUUUCCAGGCAAAUCCGGAAAAUCAAGGCUGAGGCGUGAUGACGAGGCACUACGGUGCUGAAGCAACAAAUGCCCUGCUUCCAGGAAAAGCCUCUAAGCAUCAGGUAACAUCAAAUCGUACCCCAAACCGACACAGGUGGUCAGGUAGAGAAUACCAAGGCGCUUGAGAGAACUCGGGUGAAGGAACUAGGCAAAAUGGUGCCGUAACUUCGGGAGAAGGCACGCUGAUAUGUAGGUGAAGUCCCUCGCGGAUGGAGCUGAAAUCAGUCGAAGAUACCAGCUGGCUGCAACUGUUUAUUAAAAACACAGCACUGUGCAAACACGAAAGUGGACGUAUACGGUGUGACGCCUGCCCGGUGCCGGAAGGUUAAUUGAUGGGGUCAGCGCAAGCGAAGCUCUUGAUCGAAGCCCCGGUAAACGGCGGCCGUAACUAUAACGGUCCUAAGGUAGCGAAAUUCCUUGUCGGGUAAGUUCCGACCUGCACGAAUGGCGUAAUGAUGGCCAGGCUGUCUCCACCCGAGACUCAGUGAAAUUGAACUCGCUGUGAAGAUGCAGUGUACCCGCGGCAAGACGGAAAGACCCCGUGAACCUUUACUAUAGCUUGACACUGAACAUUGAGCCUUGAUGUGUAGGAUAGGUGGGAGGCUUAGAAGUGUGGACGCCAGUCUGCAUGGAGCCGACCUUGAAAUACCACCCUUUAAUGUUUGAUGUUCUAACGUUGACCCGUAAUCCGGGUUGCGGACAGUGUCUGGUGGGUAGUUUGACUGGGGCGGUCUCCUCCUAAAGAGUAACGGAGGAGCACGAAGGUUGGCUAAUCCUGGUCGGACAUCAGGAGGUUAGUGCAAUGGCAUAAGCCAGCUUGACUGCGAGCGUGACGGCGCGAGCAGGUGCGAAAGCAGGUCAUAGUGAUCCGGUGGUUCUGAAUGGAAGGGCCAUCGCUCAACGGAUAAAAGGUACUCCGGGGAUAACAGGCUGAUACCGCCCAAGAGUUCAUAUCGACGGCGGUGUUUGGCACCUCGAUGUCGGCUCAUCACAUCCUGGGGCUGAAGUAGGUCCCAAGGGUAUGGCUGUUCGCCAUUUAAAGUGGUACGCGAGCUGGGUUUAGAACGUCGUGAGACAGUUCGGUCCCUAUCUGCCGUGGGCGCUGGAGAACUGAGGGGGGCUGCUCCUAGUACGAGAGGACCGGAGUGGACGCAUCACUGGUGUUCGGGUUGUCAUGCCAAUGGCACUGCCCGGUAGCUAAAUGCGGAAGAGAUAAGUGCUGAAAGCAUCUAAGCACGAAACUUGCCCCGAGAUGAGUUCUCCCUGACCCUUUAAGGGUCCUGAAGGAACGUUGAAGACGACGACGUUGAUAGGCCGGGUGUGUAAGCGCAGCGAUGCGUUGAGCUAACCGGUACUAAUGAACCGUGAGGCUUAACCUUACAACGCCGAAGCUGUU